rnacentral:rRNA from 1 species
UACGGAGGGGGCUAGCGUUGUUCGGAAUUACUGGGCGUAAAGCGCGCGUAGGCGGACCUGCAAGUCGGGGGUGAAAGCCCGAGGCUCAACCUCGGAACUGCCUUCGAUACUGCGGGUCUCGAGUCCGGGAGAGGUGAGUGGGAAUUCCUAGUGUAGAGGUGAAAUUCGUAGAUAUUAGGAAGAACACCGUGGCGAAGGCGGCUCUCUGGGACGGUACUGACGCUGAGACGCGAAAGCGUGGGGAGCGAACGAGG